rfam:Gossypium arboreum cultivar AKA8401 contig_52768_5, whole genome shotgun sequence.
AAUCCAUGGUGAAGACACCUUUGCAGUAGGUCCCUGUAUCUCUCUCAUGCAUCGUAAAGAGUUUCUAAGUCAUUCUGCACAAACGAAGAGAUAUCAUUACGUAAUU